ACUUAAUAUGUCAUUGAUACAAUUUGGUUAGGUUAACAGUACAAACGUACAAACAUAUCCAUCAGAAACUGUUAUGAACAUUUAAAUUAUCGUGAUAUUAAACGUCGUCCUCAUAACGCGGGUUCGGAAUGGAGAUAUGGUAAAAAGUAAAUAAAAAUAAAAUAUGGAAAAAGAAACUCCAGCUGGUUGGUAGUUUUGAAUUAUGUCACCUCGUAUUUUACUGAAAAUGUAACAACUGGAAAUCCUGUAUAAUGUGCCAUGACAACAUAGGUAAAUACUAUAUCUCGGAUCAAGCUAAAAGUUUAGUACUUAAAUCCAUGUCGACCGAAGUCGUAGGGAGUCUCAGUCAGCACCGAAAAGAAGAAGUCAGGCCGUAAACAAACCGGAGAAAAAGAGCCAUUGCAAUGGAUCCCUAACGUUAUCACGAGGAUCAUCACUAAUGUAAUCGUACUACCACCUCUUCUGGUUACGAUUCAAGUACUAAAGUUAUUCAGAAAAAUAUUUUAGAUGUUUUAUUAUUAUAACGGUCGCGAGUGGGAGGCAACAUGCGCUGCGUUCUUUUCAGUAAUUAAAUGAAAGAGAGAAGAAGUAUCUCCAAAUAUCUAGUCUUCGUGAAGGACUAAGCAAAUUGCCUGAGGCGGUGCCGCGACACGAUGAGCUUCGGGAAAGGUGUCUGCAAUAACUUUGAUCUGGUAGAGAUUGUGUUCAUAUGCGUCGCCUUCACAUUUAUUUUAAUUCUAGUGACGCAGGCAUGCCGUAUUCUAAGUUCUGGUUUCAUCCACUCAUAAACUAUUAAGAGGACUUUAAUGCAAUUCGGUUUGGAUUUCUUAAGUUAUGGAGACAAAAUAAGAAAGUUCAAAUAAAGGUACCCUGAUAAAUCACAAAUCUUAAGGUGCCGAAACAUUAGUUUCCCUGCAAGUUGAUAUAAAAAUAGAAGUCUUUCGUAUGAGAUGGACCAGUAAGUACGAAUUUAGUUUU